AACCCAUAAAUUUUAAGUAAAAUUAAGUAUAUAAGUUUGUAUUUUAAUACUGAUUAUAUUAAUUCUUAGAACAAAUAUGACAAUAUGGAGUAUUGGUGUAGUGGAAGAAUGCAUAUACAUCAACCAUCAGGUCCCAAGUUCGAAUCUGAACAAGGCCAUAGGGAGUUUUAUUUUUUUUUUUCUGCCACUGUAGGAAAUUACCAAAUUAUCCUCAUCCUGAUCAGAUUUUUUUUUCUCUCUCUCUCUUUUAUUCUUGUCUUCUUCGAGUCUUCUAGAGCAGAGGCAGAGUUAAGAGUCCGCACCAAACCCUUGCACUGCCUCUCAUCGAUCUCCGCACCCUCCUUCUCAACCACUGGCUACGUCGCUGUUCGUGUGGGUCGCUAUCAUCGGUGGCUUAUCGCUGUUCUUCUGCCACUGCUGCGAAUUCUUCCCCUGUCUCACAGUCGUUCCUCUGUCUCUGUCAUUGUUUCAAGUAUGCUGAAUCUCUUUCUUUUUCCUUGUUGCUUCGUUGUGUGCAAAGGCUUGGGUGAGCUGAGAUUUAUUUUGCUUCUUGUUCAUUUUAUUAUCAUCGGUAUGCUCAUCCGUUCUUCAUUAACUGUGACAGUCCUUCCGUCUUCACUGUUCGAAGUGCCUCCUCCUUUCUUGUUCGUGUGCUGUUGGUCUGUCUAAGGGUAUUUGGAGGAGGAGAAAUUGGAACGACGGUUAGAGGUGAAUUUGUAAAUUCCCAAAAUUUCAGAUUUGUUAGCUAACGCUGAUCCUACCAACGACCUCUGAAGGGCAAUAUAGCUACAUUGGGUGGAAAUUUUGUUUGGUACUGUCACUUUUUGAUAUAAAUCUUUAAGUCGUAUGUAUUUUAAUUUAAAAGAAAGAUUAGCUGCUCCACAUAGAUUGUUGUUAGGAUUUUAUUUUGAUUUACAUGCUGUUGUUGGCUGGAAGGAGCUAAGCUCCUGAUUGAUACUAUUUUCAAGAAAAUUUUGUUUUAGAAUUUUCAGAAGAUCGUAUUUACAGAGGAGGUGCUAUCAAAAUUUAAAAAAAAAAUGUUGAAGUCUGGUUAUGACAAUCAAUAUUAAAAGUGUUAGAAUUUCUAUAUAAUUUGAUUAUUUUUAAAAUGGAAGGAAUUUUUAUUUUAAGGCUUACGGGAAUGCAUGAUGUAGUUCGCACCCGUGCCAGUCACCCUCUAUUUUCGAGGC